GUCGGCACAACUAUGCUGUGAAUGGACCAGAGUGGGGAGAGUCUGAAAUAGGAGAUAGUGACGAUAGUAUGGAUAUAAGCCAAGGAAGUGUGAGAAUGAAGGAAAAGAGAGGAGAUGAUUUAGCAGGAGUCAGGUCGAAGAAAAUAAGAGGCAGUGGAGGUGUUGGAGAAGGAAACGAGGAAAGAGAGAAGGCAGAUGGCGACUUCAAAAUUAUAUUGAGAUUUGCGGAGGAGAAGGGAAUUUUGUCAAUGAGUCCGGUAAAGUUAACAACCGUUUUAAAAAAUCAGGUCGGUGAUAUUAAUAUGGCAAAGGUGUUGAGAGAUGGCAAUUUGUUGAUUGUUUGUAGAAGCGAGGAACAGAGACAGCGGGCUGGUAGGAUGAAAGAAAUAGGGAGGAAUAAAGUGGUGAGUGUAAAUUAUAUUGAAAGAGGAACUAAAUGGUGUAAAGGAGUGAUCUGGGGAGUGCCAGUCAGCGUUACUAUGGACGAAAUCAAGGCAAACUUAAAGGGAGGAAGUGUGAAGGGUGUUCGGAGGCUGCAGGUAACUCGUGAGGGAGUAAGGCUAGACAGCGAGUCUAUCAUGGUUGAAUUUGAAGAUGAAGUGCUUCCCAAAAAAGUAACUCUAGGCUUUAUGAGUUAUAAUGUAAGAGAAUAUGUACCAAAGCCAAUGAGAUGUUACAACUGUCAAAGAUUUGGUCAUACAGCCAAAACCUGCAAAGGCAGAAGAAGAUGUGCUAGAUGUGGAGAAGAUCAUGAUUAUGAGCAGUGUGGUCACAUGGAGCAACCCAGAUGUUGUAACUGUGGUGGAAAUCAUAGUGUGGCUUAUGGUGGCUGUGAAGUACUGAAAAGGGAAAAAGAAAUACAACAGGCGAGGAUUCAGGGUAAGGUGACGUAUGCAGAGGCUGUGAGGAUAGUAAGUCAGAGAGGAGGAAAUGGAGAAAGAAGCAGUACAGGUAAACAACUCGAUAAGGAUUCAGAUCAGGCAAAUGAAGAGAAGGUGAUGGUUGACAUUAAGAAACUAGUCACAUUCAUAGCAGGAGUAAUCAAUGCUACAAUGGGGAUCAAGUCUAAAACAG
rnacentral:lncRNA from 1 species